rnacentral:rRNA from 1 species
AUUGAACGCUGGCGGCAGGCCUAACACAUGCAAGUCGAGCGGAUGAAGAGGGCUUGCUCUCUGAUUCAGCGACGGACGGGUGAGUAAUGCCUAGGAAUCUGCCUGGUAGUGGGGGACAACGUUUCGAAAGGAACGCUAAUACCGCAUACGUCCUACGGGAGAAAGUGGGGGAUCUUCGGACCUCACGCUAUCAGAUGAGCCUAGGUACGAUUAGCUAGUUGGUGAGGUAAAGGCUCACCAAGGCGACGAUCGUUAACUGGUCUGAGAGGAUGAUCAGUCACACUGGAACUGAGACACGGUCCAGACUCCUACGGGAGGCAGCAGUGGGGAAUAUUGGACAAUGGGCGAAAGCCUGAUCCAGCCAUGCCGCGUGUGUGAAGAAGGUCUUCGGAUUGUAAAGCACUUUAAGUUGGGAGGAAGGGCAGUAAGUUAAUACCUUGCUGUUUUGACGUUACCGACAGAAUAAGCACCGGCUAACUUCGUGCCAGCCGCCGCCGUAA